UCGUCAGCUCGUGCCGUGAGGUGUUGGGUUCAGUCCCGCAACGAGCGCAACCCUCGCCCUCUGUUGCCACCGGGUCAUGCCGGGCACUCUGAGGGGACUGCCAGCGACAAGUUGGAGGAAGGAGAGGAUGACGUCAAGUCAUCAUGGCCCUUAUGCCCAGGGCCACACACGUGCAACAAUGGCCGGUACAGACGGACGCGAGACCGAGAGGUGGAGCAAAUCCGAGAAAGCCGGUCCCAGUUCGGAUUGAGGUCUGCAACUCGACCUCAUGAAGUCGGAAUCGCUAGUAAUCGCGUAUCAGCACGACGCGGUGAAUACGUUCCCGGGCCUUGUACACACCGCCCGUCACACCACGAAAGUCUGUUGUACCUGAAGUCGGUGCCCCAACCGGAAACGGAGGGAGCCGCCCAAGGUAUGGCCGGUAAUUGGGGUGAAGUCGUAAC
rnacentral:rRNA from 1 species